rnacentral:rRNA from 1 species
GAUGAACGCUGGCGGCGUGCCUAAUACAUGCAAGUCGAGCGAACAGACGCGGCGCUUGCUCCUCUGACGUUAGCGGCGGACGGGUGAGUCACACGUGGAUAACCUACCUAUCAGACUUGGAUAACUUCGGGAAACCGUAGCUACUACCGGAUAAUAUAUUCAACCGCAUGGUUCAAUAGUGAAAUACGGUUUUGCUGUCACCUCUAGAUGGAUCCGCGCCGUAUUAGCUAGUUGGUAAGGUAACGGCUUACCAAGGCGACGAUGGGUAGCCGACCGGAGAGGGGGAUCGGCCACAUGGGAGCUGGAACGGGGACCAGGCGCCUACGGGAGGCAGCAGUAGGCAAUGUUACGCAGUGGGGGAGAGCAUGACGGAGCAACGGCGCGUGAGAGAUGAAGGUCUUCGGAGAGGAAAAAUCGGUUAUUGGGGAAGAACAAAUGUGUAAGUAACUAUGGACGUCGUGACGGUACCUAAUCAGAAAGCCACGGCUAACUACGUG